rnacentral:rRNA from 1 species
CUGCCCAAUGAUAUAUAUUAAAUGGCCGCGAUAUUUUGAUCGUGCGAAGGUAGCAUAAUCAUUAGUUUUUUAAUUGAAAGCUGGUAUGAAAGAUUGGACGAGAUACAUUCUGUCUCAGAAAUAAAAGUUGAAUUUUAUUUUUAAGUUAAAAAGCUUAACUUACUUUGAAAGACGAGAAGACCCUAUAGAGUUUAAUAUUAUAUUAUUAUAAAUUAUUGUUGAAUUAAGAAUUUUUAUAAUUUAGGAGUAUUUAAUUGGGGUGAUUGAAAAAUUUGAUAAACUUUUUCUUUAAAAUAAUAUAAAUUUAUAGGUUAUUGACUUAAUUUAUUAGUUACAAGAUUAAAUUACCUUAGGGAUAACAGCGUAAUUUUUCUAAAGAGUUCAUAUCGAAAGAAAAGAUUGCGACCUCGAUGUUGGAUUAAAGUUAAAAUUUGGUGUAGAAGCUAAGUGUUUUAGUCUGUUCGACUAUUAAAACUUUACAUGAUCUGAGUUUAGACCGGCGUGAGCCAGGUUAGUUUCUAUCUUCAAUAUUUAAAAAUAUUUUAGUACGAAAGGACCAAAUAUUAAUUAAAUUAGUUAAUUUUUGAUUAACAGU